rnacentral:lncRNA from 1 species
GUUUUGUUACUCAGUAUUUAAUGUUGUUUUGUGUACUCUUUGUCUUUUUGUAGUUUUAAUACAUUUCAGUACUAGGGUUUAUUUCCGUUGUCAUGGGCAGCCUCUUCGUGGGUGUGUUACAUGCGAUACGUUUUUCGUGCAGUUUUGCAACAUUCAGACAUUUGAAUGUGUCCCUGUCGAGCUGACACAAUCACAAUAGCCGCCUUUCGAACGUG